rnacentral:rRNA from 1 species
UACGUAGGGUGCAAGCGUUAUCCGGAAUUAUUGGGCGUAAAGAGCUCGUAGGCGGCUUGUCACGUCGGAUGUGAAAGCCCGGGGCUUAACUCCGGGUCUGCAUUCGAUACGGGCAGGCUAGAGUUCGGUAGGGGAGAUCGGAAUUCCUGGUGUAGCGGUGAAAUGCGCAGAUAUCAGGAGGAACACCGGUGGCGAAGGCGGAUCUCUGGGCCGAUACUGACGCUGAGGAGCGAAAGCGUGGGGAGCGAACAGG